AAUGAACGCUGGCGGCAUGCCUAACACUGCAAGUCGAACGAGACCUUCGGGUCUAGUGGCGCACGGGUGCGUAACGCGUGGGAAUCUGCCCUUGGGUUCGGAAUAACUCGCCGAAAGGCGUGCUAAUACCGGAUGAUGACGUAAGUCCAAAGAUUUAUCGCCCAAGGAUGAGCCCGCGUAGGAUUAGCUAGUUGGUGGGGUAAAGGCCCACCAAGGCGACGAUCCUUAGCUGGUCUGAGAGGAUGAUCAGCCACACUGGGACUGAGACACGGCCCAGACUCCUACGGGAGGCAGCAGUGGGGAAUAUUGGACAAUGGGCGAAAGCCUGAUCCAGCAAUGCCGCGUGAGUGAUGAAGGCCUUAGGGUUGUAAAGCUCUUUUACCCGGGAUGAUAAUGACAGUACCGGGAGAAUAAGCCCCGGCUAACUCCGUGCCAGCCGCCGCCGUAAGAC
rnacentral:rRNA from 1 species